rnacentral:rRNA from 1 species
CGAGCAGGGACGAAAGUCGGGACUAGUGAUCCGGCGGCUCGUUGUGGAACGGCCGUCGCUCAACGGAUAAAAGGUACCUCGGGGAUAACAGGCUGAUCUUGCCCAAGAGUCCAUAUCGGGUCAGGGACAGUGCCUGAUGGGUAGUUUAACUGGGGCGGUUGCCUCCUAAAAUGUAACGGAGGCG